CACGUAGGGCGCAAGCGUUGUCCGGAAUUAUUGGGCGUAAAGGGUGCGUAGGCGGGUUUUUAAGUCAGGGGUGAAAUCCUGGAGCUCAACUCCAGAACUGCCUUUGAUACUGAAGAUCUUGAGUUCGGGAGAGGUGAGUGGAACUGCGAGUGUAGAGGUGAAAUUCGUAGAUAUUCGCAAGAACACCAGUGGCGAAGGCGGCUCACUGGCCCGAUACUGACGCUGAGGCACGAAAGCGUGGGGAGCAAACAGG
rnacentral:rRNA from 1 species